CUUGGUCAUUUAGAGGAAGUAAAAGUCGUAACAAGGUCUCCGUUGGUGAACCAGCGGAGGGAUCAUUACCGAGUUUACAACUCCCAAACCCCUGUGAACAUACCUAUACGUUGCCUCGGCGGAUCAGCCCGCGCCCCGUAAAACGGGACGGCCCGCCGCAGGACCCAUAAACCCUGAAUUUUAUUGUAACUUCUGAGUUUAAAAAACAAAUAAAUCAAAACUUUCAACAACGGAUCUCUUGGUUCUGGCAUCGAUGAAGAACGCAGCAAAAUGCGAUAAGUAAUGUGAAUUGCAGAAUUCAGUGAAUCAUCGAAUCUUUGAACGCACAUUGCGCCCCCUGGUAUUCCGGGGGGCAUGCCUGUUCGAGCGUCAUUUCACUACUCAAGCCUCGCUUGGUAUUGGGCGACGCGGUCCGCCGCGCGCCUCAAAUCGACCGGCUGGGUCUUCUGUCCCCUCAGCGUUGUGGAAACUAUUCGCUAAAGGGUGCCACGGGAGGCCACGCCGAAAAACAAACCCAUUUCUAAGGUUGACCUCGGAUCAGGUAGGGAUACCCGCUGAACUUAAGCAUAUCAAUAAGCGGA
rnacentral:rRNA from 1 species